CAGGUUCCGGAUCUUGAUGCCCGCCUGGGGAGGGGACAGGGACCCUCAGCCCAUGGAGUCCUGUGUGAUGUUGUGAGCGUGGGAGGACAGACUGAACUGCUCGGCCCGUGGAGUCCUGUGUGAUGUUGUGAGCGGGGAGGACAGACUGAACUGCGUGGUGCUUCGCACAUAGACCUCAACAGGGAUUGGCAUUUUGAAGCUGUUGGCGGGGGCUGUGGACUGCUUUUCUUCCUUUCUAGCUCAACGGCAGCUAAAGCCACUGCAUACAAUGCAAGGACUGGCUCCUGUUUGGCCACGACUGAUUGCAGCCCCUGGUGAAAUGAGAACCCUGUGGGUCGGAACAAAGUUUGGAUUAUUUAUGUUGCAAGUAACUAAAAUCUCAAGUGAAACUGGUUUAAACAUUAUAUUUUUAUUAUUUAUUUAUUUAUAUUUAAUUCUUUUUUAGAGACAGGGUCUUCUUAGGUUGCCCAGGCUGGUCUUGAACUCCUGGCCUCAACGAUCUUCCCACUUCAGCCUCCUGCAUUGCUGGGAUUAUAGGUGUGAGCCACCAUGCCUGGCUUACACAGUAUAAAGGGAAUGCAUUGGCCCACACAGUGGAAAAAAAUAUCUAGUAGGAAUAGGAAGGACUUCAGGUGAGGUUUGAUCCAGCAGCUCAAAUGUUGUCACCACAGGCCUGGAUUCCUCUGGCCUUUCUCAAGGUCUCUUUCAUUUUCAUGCUCCACAAGAUGGCUUCUGCCAGGCUGACCUCCCUCCCCUGACCCCAGCAGCUCUGGACACCCCUCUCAGUGCCAUUUAUAUUGUUGCAUCAAUAGGCUCAUUUCUAUAUACUGCAAGGUUCAGAGAAGACAGAGUAUCUCUCUCAAGAGUUCUAACAUAAGUCUGGGGGUCCUGGCUCUCAUAGGCUUGAACAGGGCCACAUGUCCAUUCCUGAGCCAAUAUUUGUGACCAAGGGGAUGUGGUCAAUCUCAUCCAAACCUCACUUGAAGUGAGGGUGGGAGGAGGAGUGCUCUGCAAGGAGACUGUAGGUCUGGACCACCAAAAAGGUAGAUGGGUUGGUGGGAAAAGCCAGAUGCCUACUAUGGUAGUGGGCGGGGGGAGGGCACACUGGCAAGGUACAGCAAGAGGCAGGGGCAGUGCUGGACAGGCAGGGGCUCCUCCCUAGCACGACUGGAGAAAGGACUCCUGUGAAGCGGUCACCUCCAUGAGUCCCUCCUGUCCUGGCUUCCAACCACUCUGAAGUGGGGCUUUUGUCCACAGACCUGGCCUCUGCUGCCUACCCUCUUCUGUCCCCACCUGAUGGGGCCGCUUUCCUUCUGAAGCGGCUGCAUUUUGGGUUUCUCUCCACAGGAAGAGUUGGGGCUCACAGGCACACCCUCUCCCUAACUCUUCUCCCCCGGUUCAACCUGGAUCCAGGGAUCCACACUCUGCUCCGAGAGGCCAGCACGCAGCCACUGGAAAAUGAGCCAGUGGGAGAGGGCAGCUCCAUGUUUAUUGAUCAGCAGACUAUGUCUUUUUGUUUGAAACUUCUAAAUAAGAUUACAAAAAGAAAAAAAAUAGAAGCAUUGCGUAUUAACUGCAUUGGUUAACCAACAUUGGAACCCAAUACUCUUGUAUUAGGCCCGCAUUUACCUGAGUAAACUCAGUGGUUUUCUGUCCUAAGCAUGCUUGCCUGCUACAUCCCAUGGAGAAAAUAAACAGUGAAACACUUUCCUCAUCUUCAAGGCAAUUGUCUCAGGCAUCCUCCAGGCAUCAUGAAGGAGGGUGAGCGAGGGUGCGAGGUGGAAAGGUCCAGGCCGCGGCUGUGACUCCCGCGGGUGAACCACAGCUCCACAGCCCCAAAUCCAAAGAUGCUCUUGCUGCAGCACGACAAGUGUUCAAAAGAGAACCAGGCCCAGCCCGGAGAAAGGAAAGCCAAAAGCCAACUGAAUGAAUGACCCUCCCCCAGAAGAGCAACCCUGCCCCCAGGCCAUCCAAGUGCGAACAUUACCAGGUGCCAGCAGGGAAAGGACUCCGCUGCCUGACGCCUCUCCCACCUGAGAGCGCAGAGGUAGGGAGAUCACAGUGCCUGAGAGGUUUUCCUCCACGGAGAAAUCAGAGACCUCAACCUGCUGCCCUCUAAAGCAGCUUUCUGUAUCCAGACAAAACUUACAUAUGUACACGUUGUUUUAAAACGACAUACUCAUGUGACACACAUGUAUAUAAAUUCAUGUUUAUAUAUGACAAUUGAGGAGAGUUAAAGAACAAGAUAAUUCUGGAUGGAAAAAUCAGUUUGCCUGGGCAUCUGUAAACCUUUGGGCAAGUGAAUUCCCUCUUCUCUCUCAGUUCACCCUUUGGUGACCUCCACCGUGGCUGCAGACUUCAGGUGGUCCUCACGCAUUCACAGAACUGUCUGCUUAGGUUACAGCACUUUGGGAGGCCGAGGUGGGUAGAUCACGAGGUCAGGAGAUCGAGACCAUAUUGACCAACAUGGUAAAACCCCAUCUCUACUAAAAUACAAAAAUUAGCCGGGCGUGGUGGCGGGUGCCUGUAGUCCCAGCUACUUGGGAGGCUGAGGCAGGGGAAUCACUUGAACCUGGGAGGCGGAGGUUGCAGUGAACUGAGAUUGCGCCACUGCACUCCAGCCUGGGUGACAGAGACUUCCUCUCAAAAUAAAAAUAAAAAUAAUAAAAUAAUAAAUGGUUCUUUUCUAUGCGUCUAAUGAAUUUAAGUGCUUGUUAAGACUAAAAACCAUGUUAUGCAUUUCCUGCUCUUAAAACUAAAUUAUGUAGAAAGUAAGCUAGGGAGUGUAAGGGUAGGCAUCUGGAUAUAAAUGCUUCUCCCAAAUCAAGAUUUUCUCUUCAAUCUGUGCCUUUGACCCUGUCACCAAAGGCAGGUGACAGAAAAAAAAAAUUAUGUGCCUUUUGGAAGACUCAGUGGGACGGUUCUGAUUUCAUUCACUUCUGGUGCCAGCAGGCCCCCAUACCAUGUGGCCAUUGCUGUUUCGUGUCUCUUCCUGCAUAAAUAAUGCAGAGAGGCCAUGCAGGUAUGCAAUUUUCUGGAGAUGAGGCAGGGAGAUUUGCAAGGAAAAGUCACCUACCUCCCCAAGCUGGUGCCCACAGAGGGGGAGGCACCUCCACCUGACGCAGGUGUCUGAGCAGCAGUCCAGAGAGGUUUACUCAGGGGAUUUGGGGAGCGCACACUCUGGAGCAGAAGUACAGGUAUGUGCCCGAAUCCUGCCUCGUGAUGGGCAUUCAUGAUACGAACCACACAGCCUUUAAAGAAAAGGUUUUAUAUGAAAGGUUCCAUUUUGUUUCUGUAUAAAGGCUUUUAUCCUGUAAGGAAAAAAAAAAAACACAAAACCC
rnacentral:lncRNA from 1 species